rnacentral:rRNA from 1 species
GAACCCCCAUUGAAUGGCGGCCUUAUCUAUAAGGGUCCUAAGGUAGCGAAAUACCUUGGCAUUUAAAUGAUGUCGCGCAUGAAUGAUCUAACGAUGCAACAGCUGUCUCAAUGAUUGGCUCAGUGAAACUGGAAUGGCAGUGAAGAUACUGCCUAUCUCUAGAUAGACGAGAAGACCCCAUGCAGCUUUACUGUUACUAGUUAUAGGGUAUAACGGAACAGGUUUUAGAGAAUAAGG